rnacentral:misc_RNA from 1 species
AAGUCGUAACAAGGUCUCCGUAGGUGAACCUGCGGAGGGAUCAUUAAUGAAUGGCCAUUUAUGGCCUUCGACCCUUCAAACUCCGUGGAGGUAAAGUGUGUUUCGGCGCUUUGGCGCCGCCUUUAUGCUUUAAAGUCUGUGUCUGAAUCUAAAAUAUAGUCUAAAACUUUCAACAAAGGAUCUCUUGGCUCUC